UACAGAGGUCUCAAGCGUUGUUCGGAAUCACUGGGCGUAAAGGGUGCGUAGGUGGUGAGGUAAGUCGGAUGUGAAAUCUCCGGGCUCAACCCGGAAACUGCAUUGGAAACUACCUUGCUUGAGGGUUUGAGGGGGGACUGGAAUUCUUGGUGUAGCAGUGAAAUGCGUAGAUAUCGAGAGGAACACCAGUGGCGAAGGCGAGUCCCUGGAAAACACCUGACACUGAGGCACGAAAGCUAGGGGAGCAAACAGG
rnacentral:rRNA from 1 species